rnacentral:rRNA from 1 species
UACGUAGGGUGCAAGCGUUGUCCGGAAUUAUUGGGCGUAAAGAGCUCGUAGGCGGUUUGUCGUGUCGAAUGUGAAAACCCGGGGCUCAACUCCGGGCCUGCAUUCGAUACGGGCAGACUAGAGUUCGGUAGGGGAGACUGGGAAUUCCUGGUGUAGCGGUGAAAUGCGCAGGAUAUCAGGAGGAACACCGGUGGCGAAGGCGGGUCUCGUGGGCCGAAUGACUGACUGGAGGAGCGAAA